CCCUCAAGUUUUAUCACCGGCUCUGCUUAGACGAAAAAUGCAGGCUGGUGGUGGCAUAGACAACCAUUUGUUGUUGUGGGAUCUCACUCCUUUAGGAUUAACUGGGAAAGUCUACGAUAAGGUGUGUGAGAUGUGCCAUAUAACCUUAAACAAGACUGCUAUAUUUGGUGACAAUGGUACAAUAUCUCAUGGCGGUGGACACCAGCGAUGACAACCCGAGGCUGUAUAGAGUCUGAUUUCGAGACAAUAGUGGAUUUUCUGAGGAAGGCAGCUCAUAUAACAAGUGCGUUGCAGAGAAAAUUUGGCAAGCCGCACAAGGAGUUGUACGUGAGUUUGUGAAGAGUCUAUGCACAACAAAGACAUAUGUGAGCUUAGAAACCGUGUCAAAGUAUUUGCUUUGUAGUAUGAGAUGCAUGCUUCUAGCUAUCAUAGAUAUAUAGCAGCUGCUCAGCAAGGAGCCAAAACAAACCACCGGAGUAUUGUAUACGCAUUUACAGAAGACUUAUGACUUCUAAGUUUUGAUGCCUCUAACUUUAUAGAGUAUCAUCACCAGUGACCCAAACAGUUGCCUCUUUUGAGUCAUCUCAGGUUCUUUCACAAUAUUCUCUGACUUUUCGUUUCAUAGUUAUAGAUAAUUUGACGUAGUGUUGUUGAUACUGUUGUGACAGAUUUUGGAAGCUUGACAAUUCUUCCGGUCCGGCUAUUAUUACAACCAGACGAAUGAUCUGCACUAUGAUUAGAUUUUGGAUUCAAUUACAACGACUUAAUAGAUGAAGCAUACUCUGCGGUUAAAGAAAACAUGGCAAGAGGCAACCAAACCAAGUCAAGCGUGCCUAGGAUGGUUUGUAAUCUGGUUUAUGGAGUGAGUCCAGUGUCAGCUGCACUCUCUGUUGGGAGAUGAGAGUUCUAUGCUCUGUUGAAGAAGGUUUGGAUUUGAGCAGUAUCCAUAGGAAAAAGGAAGCCAUGAAAAGUUUCGAGAAAGUUAUCAAAUUCUCUGAAAAACUCAACUUUGAAGCAUGAUCUUAGCAUGGUUGCUGAUAAGAUUGUCCGUCUGAUCUUAAAACAAGCGCUCUCAACCCCCUUUUUGUUAUUAUAAACCACAUAAUUAAACAAACAAAUCACUCCACAACACUUCCUAUAUUUUUAAU